GACGAACGCUGGCGGCGUGCUUAACACAUGCAAGUCGAGCGGUAAGGCCCUUUCGGGGGUACACGAGCGGCGAACGGGUGAGUAACACGUGGGUGACCUGCCCUCAGCUCUGGGAUAGGCCUGGGAAACCGGGUCUAAUACUGGAUAUGACUCCAUGACGCAUGUUGUGGGGUGGAAAGCCUUGUGCGGCUGAGGAUGGGCCCGCGGCCUAUCAGCUUGUUGGUGGGGUGAUGGCCUACCAAGGCGACGACGGGUAGCCGGCCUGAGAGGGCGACCGGCCACACUGGGACUGAGACACGGCCCAGACUCCUACGGGAGGCAGCAGUGGGGAAUCUUGCGCAAUGGGCGAAAGCCUGACGCAGCGACGCCGCGUGAGGGAUGACGGCCU
rnacentral:rRNA from 1 species